AACGUAGGUGGCGAGCGUUAUCCGGAUUUACUGGGCGUAAAGCGUGCGCAGGCGGUUUUGUAAGUCUGUCGUGAAAUCCCCGGGCUCAACCUGGGAAUUGCGAUGGAGACUGCAAGGCUAGAAUCUGGCAGAGGGGGGUAGAAUUCCACGUGUAGCAGUGAAAUGCGUAGAGAUGUGGAGGAACACCGAUGGCGAAGGCAGCCCCCUGGGUCGACACUGACGCUCAGGCACGAAAGCGUGGGGAGCAAACAGG
rnacentral:rRNA from 1 species